CUGGAGCUCAGUGCAGAUUAAUGCCACAACUUCAUCCUUUUACCUUUUCUGCUCCAGGUGAGAAAAUACAGCUCUUUUUUUUUCUCAUUUUCACACUCUACAGAAGCUACAAUCAGCAGGUGAGAGUGUGUAGUUAGUGUGUCUGUGCAGACACUGUUAAAUCAUGAGAGUGCUAUUUCCUGUUUAAGGUCAUUGUGCUCAUUCCAGUCUUUUACUGCACUGAUAAUGUUCAGGUCGUAUUUGAAGGAAUAAUGAAGUUAAGUUUAUAGAUACUUAACUGCAUGAUUGUCUCAAACUCUUGAUUUGAAUCAGCAGUCAUGCAUCAGGUUGGAGUUCACAGGUUUUGAUGAUAAAGGUCCUUUCACACCAAGAGCGUUUUUUCGUGCAGUUAUUUCAGACGUCAAUAAUUUUUUUCCAACCCGUAUCCUGUUAAUACAAGCGUUCACAUCAGCGACGUUUUCCCAUCCUGUGAUAUUGCGGCAUCACGGUCAAUUUUUCCAAAGUUUUGCAUACUGUGUGUCCACUUCUGACCAAUCAGAUUUCGUGUUGUUGUGACAUCUGAUUCACCGGUAUAUCCAACAUGGCCGACCGGCUGAUUGUUUACAUGUCGGAGAACAGAGUGAUUUUUGAUAAAAGACACAAAUAUUACAAAGAUAACGACCUGAAGGACAACCUGUGAAGAGUCAUAGUGUCGGAUUUCUCAUAUGACAAUGGUUUGUGUGCUUUAACAGUUUGCUAAACGUCUUUGUUUUAACUUUCAUCUGUGCUAAGUAACUUUAGCUCUUAAGCUAACCUGUUCAGAUACAACAUACCAUAUGUAUUUUCACUGUCUCAAACUCAAUCGCGUCGCUGUCACAGCACCAUUAGUUCUCGGUUGUUACCUUACAUUUAUGGAUUAUAGUUUAAUGUGCUUAUCUGGUACUGGCCCCGACUCAGUACAUGCUUUCAUGACAGACAGACAUCUCUUUGAAUAUUUCAUAAUUUUGCGUCGUAAAUUUCCGUCAUUCCUGGUGUGUAAGGACCUUUAAUGUUUAGGAACAAAAAGAGAGAAAUACUGAUUUGUGCAAAAAUUCAGCAUACAGUAAUAACUUGAGUUCAUGGUCAAAAAUCCUUCAUAGCUACUCUAACACAUUCAUUCUGGGCAUGUAGUAAACUUAAUUUAUUUUGGAAAUGUAUUUUUAAGUGUUUUUCUGAGGCUUUUGGUAAAAAUCUGGCACCCAACCCUCUGGUUGCCAUUCUUAGUGCCACAAGUGUCCUUUCUUCUGUCAAUAAAUCUAAAGAAGUGCAGUUCAAUUUGGGAUGGUGGUUGCUAAAAAGCUGGUAAGCAAGCGGUUGGCAACAUCCAUCUCUUUGGGGGGUGUCUAACUCAGUGUUACGGUGUGUUUGACCCUAAUUAAUUUUAUGCCGGAAUAUCCCAUUAAAACAGUCAGUAAGAGGAGCCUUAAAACAGAUCAUAAACAAAGAUUUAUUCAUAAACAGUCGGCAUGUGAUGAGCCCGUGCAUCUCUGGUGGGAGGGACGAACAUGCAAAGAAAAGAUGCAAGUGAGAGAUAAUGACUGCAACUGAGAUUACGACAACAACGGAGCAAACAAGCUCAAACUUUGACUAUUUCUGAAAUUGAAUCUUAUUUUUUAAAACUAUCCUUCCAAACUUUUCAAAGACUUGUUCUCAGUGUCUUCCUCUUGGUUAAACAGGCGAUAAACACUUCAGCGCUUCAGCAUUCAAACUCUUUAUGCAGCACUGAGACAAAACUUGCUUUAUAAAGCAUCACACUGACUGAAUUUUACAGUUCAGAUUUUUCUAUCUGCUUAUCUUGUCUCUGUGAAAUAUCUCUCAAAAAUGGUACAAAGUCUGGAUUUUUUCCACAUUACAAACUCAGACUCUCCGGUCUGCUGUAACACUUUGUUCUCCCUCCUCUGGAACCAGUAAAGUGCUCUCUCCUCUCUUAUCUUAUUUCUUUUUCAUGAGGAUUUCUCAGGGACAUCAAUAAUGUACAGUCUAAUUUUAAAUCAUCUGUGAGUGCAGUGAGAUGAUUCCUCUAAAAAUAUCUGGAAGAGAGUCUCAGGAUUGUGGAAUAACCUCGUCUUUCUGCGGCGGUGUUUGCAGAUGUGAGUGUUUCUUGUAUGAUGAAGCCCUGGGGUGUUAGAUAUGAGACCACACAGUUCAUACACAGUGUGUGAACGAUUACGAGGGGAAACGUUCACUCCCUCUCUUAGUCAAACUUUUCUCCUCACUGUUCCUCUCUCUCCUCUGCAGGAAGUCAAAAACCGAGCGCUCCUCAAGACUUCCUGAGGAUGUCACCGUUCCUGCUAACAUCAGCAGACCCGACCCUGAUCCCAGAGCUUCCUGAGGAUGGAUUUGACUUCCUGUCGGCGGAGGAAGCCAUGAUUGGAUCUGGCUCUCUGUACAGCUCACCGCGAAGGUGAAGCUCCUUUUCCCCAAAUCCCC